CAAUCAGAUAGAGGAGCGGAAGCGACAAAGUUAAUUGGAGUCGGCGGACAUUUGACAGUUAGCUGAAGCAAUUUCGCCGAACUACAACUUUUGGCAAGAAGUUGUGGUGGGUUUAUGGAGAACAUCCAUAAAACUGUCUACAGUCGUAGGAGUGCUAUCUUAUUG
rnacentral:ncRNA from 2 species